CUGAUAUCAUGGAUUGGAACUCUCCCUUGGCUAACCAAGAUAACUCACAUAGCUCCCUACGUCAGAAGUGGACUACCCCUGCCAAAAACGAAGAAAUGAAAUGACCGUCAGACAACAAUAACCGCCAAUGACUUACGUCCAAGGAACAACAACCCCAAAACUACCAACAGAAUUAGCUUGAUGUGGCACAAGCAAUGGACUCUGAAAUCCUUUACAACUCUCGUUCACACACCCAAUCUACUUGCUUUACCAAAUACACACUGCACCCCACCACUUCAAUCUGAAAGAUACAGGGCUAUCUCAACCUGUGGAACCAGCUGGAACUAAACGUACAUUCACAAGAUCAACGAAUAUGAAAAAAGUAGAUACCAGUAAAGCCUCUAGAACUUUCUGAUCCUUAAUCAAAAUUCAAGCUUUACCCGCUCUAAGCCAAUAUUUUGUCAAUCAUCCUCUCACCGGGAGACAGAG